rnacentral:rRNA from 1 species
UGAGUAACCUGCCCUUAACUCUGGGAUAAGCCUGGGAAACUGGGUUUAAUACCGGAUAUGACUCCUCAUCGCAUGGUGGGGGGUGGAAAGCUUUAUUGUGGUUUUGGAUGGACUCGCGGCCUAUCAGCUUGUUGGUGAGGUAAUGGCUCACCAAGGCGACGACGGGUAGCCGGCCUGAGAGGGUGACCGGCCACACUGGGACUGAGACACGGCCCAGACUCCUACGGGAGGCAG